AUUAAAUAACUUUUUCGAUGCACUUCCAAGUCUGAAGUAAGAUUAAAGAGUUGAAUAAAACGACGAUAUCAUCUUACACUGGGAAGAUGGAGGGAAUCAACGGUAAAAGAGAAAAACCGACGUAUUUGAAUUUUGGCGCUUCAUUCGUCGGUGAAGAGAGGGCAUAAAUGUCUUUUCACAUUCAACUAGGGCAAAAAAAAAAAAAAAAAGGGUUUUUGUAUGGACCAUGGUGGGAAGUGGAAAGUAAAUUGGUUCUAUCUUUUGGAAUUUCCCGGAGAGUUUCAUAUGAUCGUUUGUAAUUAGACAAAAUAUGAAAGAUUUGAGCUUCCAUUGUCGCCCACCCACCAAAGACGGCCAAUGCUGCCCCACCAUGGCCGCACCAUCAUCAUCCUCUGCCAUCUCCUAUCGUCCUGUGCUCUUCAUCUUCCCCAUUCUUUUCUUUCUUCUUCACGUGAGCACCACAUGGGUCCCCUCUUUUCGCAUUCAAUUCUCCACCAGUUGGGUUUAUAUUAUAAUCAGAAACAGUGAAGCACGUGGAGAAAAUAGGACAAAUGCUUCCACUCAGCGGAUGCUUCCCAACAGCAAAAUGAUGAAGACAGCUCAGACUGGCCCAUUGCUAUCUGUUGGUCUUUAGUAAUUUGAACUUUUUCAGCUGUCUGGGGGGAAUCAUUUGAUGCAGCUGAAUCAUCCAAUGAGUGCUGGUGACUACUGAGUCUUGUUGAACAAUGUAAGUUCUUUCUUCCACAUGUAUUGCUUACAAACUAGACAAGGCUAGGUCUCCAAACUCGUUAUCGUACUUAAUCGUCGUUUUCUACUACGCAUGUUUCUCGUUUCAUUGUCUGUUUAGGUCCGUUACGUAUCGUUAUCAGUCUCAUAGUUUUUGUUUCGUUGUACCAGCCCAAGUCCACUGUUAGUAGAUAUUGUCCGCUUUGGUAUGUUAGAUAUCGCUGUCAGCCUCACAGUUUUUGUUUCGUUGUACCAGCCUAAGUUCACUGUCAGUAGAUAUUGUCCGCUUUGGUCUGUUACAUAUUGUUGUCGACCUCACAGUUUUUCUUUCGUUGUAACAGUCCAAGUAUAUCGCUAGUAGAUAUUGUCUGCUUGAGGCCAUUACAUAUUGUUGUUAGUCUCACAGUUUUAAAAUGUCUCUACUAGGGAGAGGUUUCAAACUAGACAAGGUUAGGUCUCCAAACCCGUUAUCAAAGUUAAUCGUCACUUGCUACUACGCAUGUUUUGUUGUUUCGUUGUACUAGCUCAAGUCCACCGCUAGUAGAUAUUGUCCACUUUGGUGCAUUACGUAUUGCUGUCAACCCACAGUCUUUGUUUCAUUGUACCAUCCUAAGUCUAUCGCUAGUAGAUAUUAUCCGCUUUGGCCCAUUACGUAUUGUUGGUAGUCUCACGGUUUCAAAACUCGUCUACUAGGGAGAGGUUUCCACACCCUUGUAACGAAUGUUUCAUUCCGUUUUCCAACCGAUGUGAGACCUACAAUCCACCCCCUUGGAGCCGAGCAUCCUCUCUAGCACAUUUUCCUGUGUUUAGCUCUCAUACCAUUUGUAAAGAGCCCAAGUCCACCUCUAGUAUUAGAUAUUGUAUAUUUUAGCCCGUUACGUAUCAACAUCAACCUCACGAUUUUGAAACACGUCUACUAAGUAGAGGUUUUGUUCUCCUCUCCAACUGAUGUGUGAUCUCACAUUCAAGCUUCUUUUUGUCCAAACAUAUUGAUUCUUAACAACGUUGUUUGUUUUUGAUCGUUAGGACAAAACAUAGGUUGUCUUUUGCUCUAAACUUUGCAUAGCUUUGAUGAUGCUUUUGUUUAUUGCUCCAAA